rnacentral:rRNA from 1 species
UGGGGAAUAUUGCACAAUGGAGGGAACUCUGAUGCAGCGACGCCGCGUGAACGAAGAAGGCUUUCGAGUCGUAAAGUUCUUUUAUAUGGGAAGAUAAUGACGGUAUCAUAAGAAAAAGCCCCGGCUAACUACGUGCCAGCAGCCGCGGUAAUACGUAGGGGGCUAGCGUUGUCCGGAAUCACUGGGCGUAAAGGGUUCGCAGGCGGACAUGCAAGUCAGGUGUAAAAGGCAGUAGCUUAACUACUGUAAGCAUUUGAAACUGCAUAUCUUGAGAAGAGUAGGGGUAAGUAGAUUUUUUAGUGUAGCGGUGAAAUGCGUAGAUAUUAAAAAGAAUACCGGUGGCGAAGGCGACUUACUGGGCUCAUUCUGACGCUGAGGAACGAAAGCGUGGGUAGCAAACAGG